AAGAUGGACGGAGGCAAGGAAAAAUAGUUGUCCGUCUCACUGAAAUUGAAAUAACUUCGUAAUUUCAUCAAAAUAUAAAGUAAAGCGAUGAUUUUUCAAUCUGGACAGAAUGAUUUCCAUUCGGACGUAACAAGGACAAAUACUUUAUAGAUAUCUAUGUUAUUAUGUAUAUACCAAAGAGACAGUUGAAGAUCUUGAGAGGAACUUCAUAGCAGCUAUAUAAAGAUUAUGUCAAUAAUUACCUGAAUAAAUAUCUUUUAGAUGGA